rnacentral:lncRNA from 1 species
UUGACACAUACAUCAAUGAAGGUUAAACAGCAUUGACAAUGCAUCCAGUAGGGAUUUAUCCGGUGAUACACACAUCAGCGAAGAUCAGGCAACCUUGAUAACAAUAAACUGUUGGUAGUAACUCCGACAGUAUGACGAAACAUGUUAUCACAUCCUCAAAAUAGAUAAAGCCUUAUCCCCACAGAUCUCUUCCACACAAGAGGUACCUCUAUGGAG